AUUGAACGCUGGCGGCAUGCCUUACACAUGCAAGUCGAACGGUAACGGGCCUUCGGGUGCCGACGAGUGGCGAACGGGUGAGUAAUACAUCGGAACGUGCCCGAUCGUGGGGGAUAACGAGGCGAAAGCUUUGCUAAUACCGCAUACGAUCUACGGAUGAAAGCAGGGGACCGCAAGGCCUUGCGCGGGCGGAGCGGCCGAUGGCAGAUUAGGUAGUUGGUGGGAUAAAAGCUUACCAAGCCGACGAUCUGUAGCUGGUCUGAGAGGAUGAUCAGCCACACUAGGACUGAGACACGGCCCAGACUCCUACGGGAGGCAGCAGUGGGGAAUUUUGGACAAAGGGCGCAAGCCUGAUCCAGCCAUGCCGCGUGCAGGAUGAAGGCCUUCGGGUUGUAAACUGCUUUUGUACGGAACGAAAAGCCUUCUUUUAAUACAGGAGGGUCAUGACGGUACCGUAAGAAUAAGCACCGGCUAACUACGUG
rnacentral:rRNA from 1 species